UUGCUCACUUCGGCAGCACAUAUACUGAAAUUAGAACAAUACAGAAAAGAUUAGAAUGACCCCUGCACAAGGAUGACAUACAAAUUUGUGAAGUGUUUCAUAUUUAA
ensembl:snRNA U6 U6 spliceosomal RNA